rnacentral:rRNA from 1 species
CAGUAGCCGCGGUAAUACAGAGGGUGCGAGCGUUAAUCGGAUUUACUGGGCGUAAAGCGUGCGUAGGCGGCUUUUUAAGUCGGAUGUGAAAUCCCUGAGCUUAACUUAGGAAUUGCAUUCGAUACUGGGAAGCUAGAGUAUGGGAGAGGAUGGUAGAAUUCCAGGUGUAGCGGUGAAAUGCGUAGAGAUCUGGAGGAAUACCGAUGGCGAAGGCAGCCAUCUGGCCUAACACUGACGCUGAGGUACGAAAGCAUGGGGAGCAAACAGGAUUAGAUACCCCGGUAGUCCCUGUCUCUUAUAC